AUUGAACGCUGGCGGAAUGCUUUACACAUGCAAGUCGAACGGCAGCACGGACUUCGGUCUGGUGGCGAGUGGCGAGCGGGUGAGUAAUAUAUCGGAACGUGCCCAGUCGUGGGGGAUAACGUAGCGAAAGCUACGCUAAUACCGCAUACGAUCUACGGAUGAAAGCGGGGGAUCGCAAGACCUCGCGCGAUUGGAGCGGCCGAUAUCAGAUUAGGUAGUUGGUGAGGUAAAGGCUCACCAAGCCGACGAUCUGUAGCUGGUCUGAGAGGACGACCGGACACACUGGGACGGGGACACGGCCCAGACUCCUACGGGAGGCAGCAGUGGGGAAUUUUGGACAAUGGACGCAAGUCUGAUCCAGCCAUUCCGCGUGCAGGACGAAGGCCUUCGGGUUGUAAACUGCUUUUGUACAGAACGAAAAGGUCUCUAUUAAUACUAGGGGCUCAUGACGGUACUGUAAGAAUAAGCACCGGCUAACUACGUGCCAGCAGCCGCCGUAA
rnacentral:rRNA from 1 species